GAUCAUGGCUCAGGAUGAACGCUAGCUACAGGCUUAACACAUGCAAGUCGCGGGGCAGCAUUUCUUAGCUUGCUAAGGAAGAUAGCGACCGGCGCACGGGUGAGUAACGCGUAUCCAACCUUCCCAUGUCCACGGGAUAGCCCGUCGAAAGGCGGAUUAAUACCGUAUGAGGUCACAUGCGGGCAUCUAAGUGUGACGAAAGGUUUGGCGGACAUGGAUGGGGAUGCGUCCGAUUAGCUAGUUGGCGGGGUAACGGCCCACCAAGGCGACGAUCGGUAGGGGUUCUGAGAGGAAGGUCCCCCACAUUGGAACUGAGACACGGUCCAAACUCCUACGGGAGGCAGCAGUGAGGAAUAUUGGUCAAUGGACGUAAGUCUGAACCAGCCAAGUAGCGUGCAGGAUGACGGCCCUAUGGGUUGUAAACUGCUUUUAUGCGGGGAUAAAGUGUGGGACGUGUCCCAUAUUGCAGGUACUGCAUGAAUAAGGACCGGCUAAUUCCGUG
rnacentral:rRNA from 1 species